rnacentral:rRNA from 1 species
AUGAGUCUUCACCUAAAAGGCACUGCGUUAUGCUCGUAGUGUCGCCCAAGGAUGGGGCCGCGACCGAUCAGGUUGUUGGUGAGGUAAUGGCUCACCAAGCCUUUAACCGGUGCGGGCCGUGGGAGCGGGAGCCCGGAGAUGGGCACUGAGACAAGGGCCCAGGCCCUACGGGGCGCAGCAGUCGCGAAAACUUUGCAAUAAGCGAAAGCUUGACAGGGCUAUCCCGAGUGCCAUCCGCUGAGGAAGGCUUUUACCCAGUCUAGAACGCUGGGGGAAUAAGGAGAGGGCAAGUCUGGUGUCAGCCGCCGCGGUAAUACCAGCUCUCCGAGUGGUGUGGAUGUUUAUUGGGCCUAAAGCAUCCGUAGCUGGCUAGGUUAGUCCCCUGUUAAAUCCACCGAAUUAAUCGUUGGAUUGCGGGGGAUACUGCUUGGCUAGGGGACGAGAGAGGCAGACGGUAUUUCCGGGGUAGGGGUGAAAUCCUAUAAUCCCGGGAAGACCACCAGUGGCGAAGGCUGUCUGCUAGAACGCGCCCGACGGUGAGGGAUGAAAGCUGGGGGAGCGAACCGGAUUAGAUACCCGGGUAGUCCCAGCUGUAAACGAUGCAGACUAGGUGUUUGGACGGCCACGUGCCGUUCUAGUGCCGCAGGGAAGCUGUUA